GCAUAUUGAUGAUGAGUUGGUUUAAUCUUUUACUAUGACUUGGUAUGGACUAUUGAGAAUUAAUUAAAAUUACCAACAUGAUUAACCAACCCAUGAAUACCUCAAAGAGUAUGGUUGUUUAGAUAUUUAUUUAGCAUGAACUAAAGACUUUUGUUUAGACCAUCAGAUCAAAUGCCCUCUUAAUAACAAUUCAAGAAAAGAAAAUCAUACUGAAAUAAGAACUUUAUUUUGACCAAGGUUUGUUGUACUGUACCAUAUCGGCAUUUCGACCCGGGCUCAGUACGUUACCGGUGUACUGGGCGAUACAUCAGGGUGUACCGAAUAAUUUUUUAUUUUUUUAUAUUGUAGCAGUGCUACAGUAUAGUACUAUAACACUGUAGCGGUACCGGGCGGUCCGCGUACCGGUAACCUGUCGGACCGGUAUGUACCGCCCGGUACGGGUGGUACGCUUCGGUACGGCAGACCUUGAUUUUGACCCCACUUUUCCCAUAAAAUAUGGUUCAAUCAAAAUCUAUAAUACCUGACUUGUCGGAAUUUUAUGACUUUUUAUUUGUCAAAGUUGACGUGCUAAUGAGAGCAAAUUGGAGAAGAAAAAACAUGCAUGUUCGAGCUUACCUGCAAAAAGGACGAGGAGAAGGAUAACACACGCGAUCUUCGCCCCCAUGAUAAAGAAGGUUAGAAGGUUCCUGUUCACCAAAUUAUACAUUUGAUGGUGACUACACUGUGAAGUUUAUAUAGAGGAGCUUCAUCACCCGUAUCAAUUGAAUUCACCCCCCUUGAUAAAUAAGAUUUGGUAGUGGAUGCCAUAUUUUCUAGCACAUUAAGGGGGUUUAUCAAUACUAUACAACUGAAACAUUUAUAAUUUUCAGGUAUCAAAUCAUGGAAACACCCAAGAAUUCCAUGGAUCAAUUAAACAAACUACAAUGUAUAUAUAUAUAUAUAUAUAUAUACCUAUGCAUGGUUCGUCAUACCGACCCAUACCAUCUGGUAUGGGCGAUAUGUACCGGUUCAAUAGGGGAUCGAUAUGCAUACUAUCUUGUAUUGGGCGGUACUAUAACAUGACCCCAUAUCAGGCGAUACGAGAUAUGUACCAGGUAGUAACAAUCGAAAUCCAAUCGUUACCAACCUAUACCGAUCGGUAGCAAUGAGAUUUCAACCAUUACAAAUCAAGGGCUGAGAUCGCUCUAUUUCAAAUGGUCAAAUUGAUCGUUUGAAUCAUAGUAAAGAGAUUUUAAACCCUUUUCUCCCAUCUCUUUUAACUCAUAUCACUCUCUCAAUCUCUUUAGCUCUCUAAAACUCAUUUUCACUCGCAUCUCUCUCUCAUUCUCAUAUUUUCACUCUCUUAAACUCAACAAGGCUACAAUUUAUGGAUUGAAUCAAAUUUAAAAGGAUUAAGAGGAAGAUUCUCGGUUAGAAUGUGGUGGAAGGUGCUGGACAAAAUCAAGUCAAAUUGCUCGAGGAACUAGAGACACCAAACUGUCAUAAUCAUCCGCCCAACAUGCAAAGGCAAAGGCAAAGUGGAAGGCAGUAGCAUCAAUUGCACCGUUAGAAAGAAUCGAGUCAAGCGACGAAACACCUUCUGAAUCGCAUUUAACAACCUGCUCAGUCUAGAGAAAUGACAACGACGUGAACAGUAGUGCCUUAACCGAUGAUGGCGACGACGUUGGGGAGUCGAUGGUCCUAUCUCCAUAAUUUGAGGGUGGUGCAUGGACCGAGAAGCAGUAUUUUACACAUGCUACCUAAGAUUCAUAUCAUGGAACUCGACGAGGUAUUGGUCAAGUUUAUAUACGGGAAAGGAAGGUAGUGGAUGAUUUUAAGCAGAUACAACAAAACCUAUACCAUGUAGACAUAAAACGAAGCUUAUCGUAUUCACAACCGUCGUAUCAUGGAGAAUGCUCAACAACAAUACGGUGAUAGUUGGUCAUACUUCUCCAAGUAGUAGUACAAUGAUCGAUCUUAUGAUACAGAACAACAGAUCAAUGGCAAAAGUAUAAGUUUUGGCUUUCUUCAUGCUCCACACUAAUACAUGUCAUAAUCGUACUUGUCUUAGGCGCCACCUUAAACACGUGUGAUUCAUGACGAUCAGACUACGACCAUCACUACAUUGAUGCACCAAUGACAUCGAUGUAUCAGUAUAUUAUGUCGUGGGAUCAAUUUCAGGAUUGGGUCCGAUAAACAUAUCAAAUUGAUAUACAGUUACAUAGGAUCGAGAACCUCGAUCCACUGCUCGUGGAGUCUCGCUGUUGUUUCUUUGCGGUAGAAUCAAAUAUAUAUUCAUCGAUCGAUUACUUGAUUCAUUUGAAUCUUAAAGUUUAAGUUAUUAAAAAAAAUAAAAAUUUAAAUUAUUUUUUUGUAAAUAAUUUAGUAUUAAUAAAUAAAAGGGUCUUCCGGAACAUAUCAUAAAGCUAUUUCUCAAAACCUAUAAAAGAUAGGCCACUACUCUUUUCUAAUUUAGAUUAUUUUUACAAAAAUUAUACUAAAAUUAUAUUUAUUUCUAAUGAUGAAAACCCUAAUCUAAUUUUUUUUAAUAUUUUUCAGGUAUUUUUUGAGAUAGUUUUGAUGGUUUUUGGGUGUACUAUUGUUAUGCCCUUACGUACCAUCGAUACACUUUAGUACAUAUCUUAUUGAUGUUUGGUCGGUACACUGGUACAGACUGAGAUUGUAAACCUUAUAUAUAUAUAUAUAUGUAUACAUAUAUAUAUAUGUAUACAUAUGUAUACAUGUAUAUGUAUGUAUAUGUAUAUGUAUAUAUAUAUGUAUAUGUAUUUAUAUAUAUGUAUACUUAUAUAUACACAUACAUAUACAUAUGUAUGUGUAUAUAUGACUUCAGUACAGUGAACCUAAUGGAUGCAUCUAGAAAGAUUCGUAUCAAUAGAUUUAUCUUUAUAUAUAUGCAUAUAUAUAUAUAUAUAUAUAUUUAUAUAUGUAUAUGUAUAUAUGACUUCGGUACAAUGAACCUAGUUGAUGCAUCUAGAAAGAUUCGUAUAUAUAUAUAUAUAUAUAUAUACACACACAUCAUGACUUCGGUACAGUGAACCAUAGUGGAUGCAUCUUGAAAGAUUCAUAUCAAUAGAUUCAUCUUUGUCGAAAUCCGACCGUUACCGAUUUGUACCAAUCAGUAAUAGUCGGAUUUUGACCGUUGCGGAUAAGGGUUGAUAUCGCCCUAUUUCAAACAGUCAAAUUGACCAUUUGAAUCAUAGAAAAGAGAUUUUAAACCCUUUCCUCCCUCCUCUUUCAACUCAUAUUACUCAAUCUCUUUAGCGCUCUAAAAGAUAUGUCACCACUCUUUCCUAAUUUAGAUUAUUUUUGCUAAAAUUAUAGUAAAUUUAUAUUAUUUUUAACUUAAAAAUCAUAAUUAAAUUAUAAUUAUAAUUAUUAUUAACUAUUUUUGGAGCUAUUUUUGAUGGUUUUGGGUGUACUGUCGGUUUGCCAUUGUGUAACAUCGAUACGUCUUGGUACGUACCGUAUGUCGAUACACUAGUACAGUCCAAGAUUGCAUAUGUUGUAUAUAUGUAUAUAUAUAUGUAUAUACAUAUAUGUAUGUAUAUACAUAUCCAUAUAUGUAUGUAUAUAUAUGCAUAUAUAUAUACGACUUCGGUACAGUGAACCUAGUGGAUGCAUGUGAAAAGAUUUGUAUCAAUAAAUUCAUCUUUGUCGAAAUCUGAUCGUUACCAACUUGUGUUGAUAAGUAAUAGACAAGUUUCAAAUGUUACAAAUAAGGGCUGAGAUCGUCCUAUUUCAAACGGUCAAUUUAUAGGAAAGGGAUUUUAAACCCUUUUCUCCCCCCUCUUUUAACUCAUAUCACUCUCUCAAUCUCUUCAGCUCUCUAAAACUCAUUUUUACUCGCAUCUCUCUCUCAAUCUCACAUUUUCAUUCUCCUACACUCAACAAGGCUACGAUUUAUGGAUUGGAUUAAAUUUGGGAUGAUUAAGAAGAAGAUCCCUCUCGGUUAGAAUGUGGUGAAAAGAGCCGGACAAUAUCAAGUCAAAUUGCUCUAGAAAUUAGAGACACCCAACUGUCACAAUCGUUCCCCCGACAUGCAACAACAAAGGUAAAGGGGAAGACAGUAGCAUUAAUCGCACCGUUGGAAAGAAUCGAGUCGAGUGACGAAACACCUUCUCAAUUAUAUUUAACAACCAGCUCAGACCAGAGAUAUGGCAGCGACGUGGGCAGUAGUGUCUUAACCAAUGAUGGCGACGACCUCGAGGAGUCGAUAGUCUAAUCUAUAUAAUUUGAGGGUGGUGCAUGGACCGCAAAAUUGUAUUUUACAUGCCGUCUAAGAUUUAAAUCAUCGAAUUUGACAAGAUAUUGAUUAAGUUUAUACAUGGAAGGGGGAGAGAAAGGCAGUGGAUGAUUUUGAGUAGAUGCGACAGAACUUACACUAUGUAGACACAAAGCGAAAAUUAUCAUAUUCAUAAUCGUCGUAUCAUGGAGAAUCUUUUGACCAGCAACAGUAUGGUGAUGGUCAUGCUUCACCGAGUAAUUGUACGUUGUUCGAUCUUAUGAUACAAAACAACAAAUCAAUAGCAAAAGUAGAAGUUUUGACAUUCUUCAUGCUCCGCACUAAUACAUGUCAUAAUCGUACUUGCCUCUAGAGCCACCUCACACACGUGUGAUUCAUGACGAUCAGACUACGACCAUCACUAUAUUGAUGCACCAAUGGCAUAUGGUGUAUUAUUAUAUUAUGUCGUGAGAUCAAUUUUAGGAUUGGGUCUAACAAAUAUAUCAAAUUGAUAUACAGAUACAUAGGAUCGAGGACCUUGGUCCAUUUCCUAUGGAGUCUCAUUUUUACUUGCAUCUCUCUCUCAUUCUCACAUUUUCAUUCUCCUACACUCAACAAGGCUACGAUUUAUGGGUUGGAUUAAAUUUGGGAUGAUUAAGAAGAAGAUCCCUCUCGGUUAGAAUGUGGCGAAAAGCGUCGGACAACAUCGAGUCAAAUUGCUUUAGAAAUUAGAGACACCCAACUGUCACAAUCGUUCCCCCGACAUGCAAUGACAAAGGUAAAGGGGAAAGCAGUAGCAUCAAUCGCACCGUUGGAAAGAAUCGAGUCGAGUGACGAAACACCUUCUCAAUUAUAUUUAACAACCAGCUCAGACCAGAGAUAUGGCAACGACGUGGGCAAUAGUGUCUUAACCAAUGAUGGCGACGACCUCGGGGAGUCGAUAGUCUAAUCUAUAUAAUUUGAGGGUGGUGCAUGGAUCGCAAAACCGUAUUUUACAUGUCGUCUAAGAUUUAAAUCAUCGAAUUUGACAAGAUAUUGAUUAAGUUUAUACAUGGAAGGGGGAGAGAAAGACAGUGGAUGAUUUUGAGCAGAUGCGACAGAACUUACACUAUGCAGACACAAAGCGAAAAUUAUCAUAUUCAUAAUCGUCGUAUCAUGGAGAAUCGUUUGACCAGCAACAGUAUGGUGAUGGUCAUGCUUCACCGAGCAAUUGUACGUUGUUCGAUCUUAUGAUACAAAACAACAAAUCAAUAGCAAAAGUAGAAGUUUUGACAUUCUUCAUGCUCCGCACUAAUACAUGUCAUAAUCGUACUUGCCUCUGGAGCCACCUCACACACGUGUGAUUCAUGACGAUCAAACUACGACCAUCACUAUAUUGAUGCACCAAUGACAUACGGUGUAUUAGUAUAUUAUGUCGUGAGAUCAAUUUUAGGAUUGGGUCUAACAAAUAUAUCAAAUUGAUAUACAGAUACAUAGGAUCGAGGACCUUGGUCCAUUUCCUAUGGAGUCUCAUUUUUACUCGCAUCUCUCUCUCAUUCUCACAUUUUCAUUCUCCUACACUCAACAAGGCUACGAUUUAUGGAUUGGAUUAAAUUUGGGAUGAUUAAGAAGAAGAUCCCUCUCGAUUAGAAUGUGGCGAAAAGAGUCGGACAACAUCGAGUCAAAUUACUCUAGAAAUUAGAGACACCCAACUGUCACAAUCGUUCCCCCGACAUACAACGACAAAGGUAAAGGGGAAGGCAGUGGCAUCAAUCGCACCGUUGGAAAGAAUCGAGUCGAGUGACGAAACACCUUCUCAAUUAUAUUUAACAACCAGCUCAGUCCAGAGAUAUAGCAGCGACGUGGGCAGUAGUGUCUUAACCAAUGAUGGCGACGACCUCGGGGAGUCGAUAGUCUAAUCUACAUAAUUUGAGGGUGGUGCAUGGACCGCAAAACAGUAUUUUACGUGCCGUCUAAGAUUUAAAUCAUCGAAUUCGACAAGAUAUUGAUUAAGUUUAUACAUGGAAGGGGGAGAGGAAGGCAGUGGAUGAUUUUGAGCAGAUGCGACAGAACUUACACUAUGCAGACACAAAGCGAAACUUAUUAUAUUAAUAGUCGUCGUAUCAUGGAGAAUAUUUUGACCAACAACAGUAUGGUGAUGGUCAUGCUUCACCGAGCAAUUGUACGUUGUUCGAUCUUAUGAUACAAAACAACAAAUCAAUAGCAAAAGUAGAAGUUUUGACAUUCUUCAUACUCCGCACUAAUACAUGUCAUAAUCGUACUUGCCUCAGGAGCCACCUCAGACAUGUGUGAUUCAUGACGAUCAGACUACGACCAUCACUAUAUUGAUGCACCAAUGGCAUACGGUGUAUUAGUAUAUUAUGUCGUGAGAUCAAUUUUAGGAUUGGGUCUAACAAAUAUAUCAAAUUGAUAUACAAAUACAUAGGAUCGAAUACCUUGGUCCAUUUCCUGUGGAGUCUCAUUUUCUUCUCUUGUGGUAGAACUNNNNNNNNNNNNNNNNNNNNCUUUUUACAAAUUGGAUCAAGGUUUUUCUUUCUCUCAUCUACCUGUUUGCUUCUUGUUUUGCCCAUUGACUAUUAGAGGCAUAAGACAUGCAUUCGUUUCAAGUUUUUAGUUGUCUAGAAUUCUAAAUUCAUAUUGAUGUGGCAGGUGUUCAUGAGUUGAAUAGCAUCAAUUCAUAUUGUAAAUUUAUGUUUUUUAUUGAUAAUACUUCUCACAUUGAAGUAUAAAAGAUGAGAGAUCCCCAGGAAUCUCUGAGUUGAUAGGCUUUUUAUUUAUUGAUAACACUUCUGGCAUUGGAAGGACAUGAAACAAAGUGUCUAGAGUCACAACGGACAUUGAAAGGAACAUAUGCAUCGAUUAUUAUCACAAACACCGUCUCCAGUAUAAGUUCUAGUGCAUCCCUCCGCACAAUUUGAAUCGGUACAUGGGCUGUCUAAGACAACUUUGCAGAUACGAUCAGGUUGUUGUGCCUCAACCACAACAUCAGCUGUUGCAAAGGUAAAUGCAUAAGUAAGGCGACCGUUACGUUUUUAUCUAGAUAUUAUAUGCAAUCAAACAGAAGUUUUUAUAUUGUUGAUAAUAGCAUGAGGUAAUACUGUCACAUGAGUUGUUUAAGUUAGGUGACAAUUACAUUUUUAUCUAGAUAUUAUAUGUAAUCAAACAUGAGUUUUUAUAUUGUUGAUAAUAGCAUGAGGUAAUACUAUCACAUGUGUUGUUAAUCUUAUGCUGAAUUCUGUCCUCUCGUUAAGACACCCAAAUAUAUAUCGCACCUAUUUUAGAAACCAUGAAUUAGAAUCACUUUUUGUGGAGUUUGAUGUGGUAGGAGAAAGCUAGGAGAAAAUGCAAUUUUAUUUUUAUUUUUGCACCUUGAUAUGAUGAAGCCAAAUCUCAAGAGAAAAAAAAAAAGGUAGGUUGGUUGAAGCCAAAGAACCUGUACACAAAAAUUGUACCUUUUUUUUUCUUACCCAAUGCAUAUUGAUGAUGAGUUGGUUUAAUCUUUUACUAUGACUUGGUAUUGACUAUUGAGAAUUAAUUAAAAUUACCAACAUGAUUAACCAACCCAUGAAUACCUCAAAGAGUAUGGUUGUUUAGAUAUUUAUUUAGCAUGAACUAAAGACUUUUGUUUAGACCAUCAUAUCAAAUGCCCUCUUAAUAACAAUUCAAGAAAAGAAAAUCAUAUUGAAAUAAGAACUCUAUUUUGACCCCAC
rnacentral:lncRNA from 1 species